rnacentral:rRNA from 1 species
GAUGAACGCUGGCGGCGUGCCUAACACAUGCAAGUCGAGCGAUCUUCUUCGGAAGAGAGCGGCGGACGGGUGAGUAACGCGUGGGUAACCUGCCUCAUACACAUGGAUAACAUACCGAAAGGUAUGCUAAUACAAGAUGAUAUAAGAGAUUCGCAUGGAUUUCUUAUCAAAGCUCCGGCGGUAUGAGAUGGACCCGCGUCUGAUUAGCUAGUUGGUAAGGUAACGGCUUACCAAGGCGACGAUCAGUAGCCGACCUGAGAGGGUGAUCGGCCACAUUGGAACUGAGACACGGUCCAAACUCCUACGGGAGGCAGCAGUGGGGAAUAUUGCACAAUGGGCGAAAGCCUGAUGCAGCAACGCCGCGUGAGCGAUGAAGGUCUUCGGGUCGUAAAGCUCUGUCCUCAAGGAAGAUAAUGACGGUACUUGAGGAGGAAGCCCCGGCUAACUACGUGCCAGCCGCCGCUGUAAGAC